CCGGGGAAAGGGNGGGGGCAGCCNAAAAGAAACACGGGGCCAAGCGGGGGGGGGGCCCCNAAAACCGGAAGGAAACCCCAGGGGCAACGGGGCCGGGCGGAGGGAACAGAAAACGAGGGGCGCAAGGAGGGAGAGGAACCCCCCGGCGNNNCGCNNNNNNCGCNNNNNNNNGGNAUAGAGUUUGAUCAUGGCUCAGGAUGAACGCUGGCGGCGUGCCUAAUACAUGCAAGUCGAGCGAACAGACAAGGAGCUUGCUCCUUUGACGUUAGCGGCGGACGGGUGAGUAACACGUGGGUAACCUACCUAUAAGACUGGGAUAACUUCGGGAAACCGGAGCUAAUACCGGAUAAUAUUUCGAACCGCAUGGUUCGAUAGUGAAAGAUGGUUUUGCUAUCACUUAUAGAUGGACCCGCGCCGUAUUAGCUAGUUGGUAAGGUAACGGCUUACCAAGGCGACGAUACGUAGCCGACCUGAGAGGGUGAUCGGCCACACUGGAACUGAGACACGGUCCAGACUCCUACGGGAGGCAGCAGUAGGGAAUCUUCCGCAAUGGGCGAAAGCCUGACGGAGCAACGCCGCGUGAGUGAUGAAGGUCUUCGGAUCGUAAAACUCUGUUAUUAGGGAAGAACAUACGUGUAAGUAACUAUGCACGUCUUGACGGUACCUAAUCAGAAAGCCACGGCUAACUACGUGCCAGCAGCCGCGGUAAUACGUAGGUGGCAAGCGUUAUCCGGAAUUAUUGGGCGUAAAGCGCGCGUAGGCGGUUUUUUAAGUCUGAUGUGAAAGCCCACGGCUCAACCGUGGAGGGUCAUUGGAAACUGGAAAACUUGAGUGCAGAAGAGGAAAGUGGAAUUCCAUGUGUAGCGGUGAAAUGCGCAGAGAUAUGGAGGAACACCAGUGGCGAAGGCGACUUUCUGUCGUAACGACGCUAUGCAAGACACG
rnacentral:rRNA from 1 species